rnacentral:misc_RNA from 1 species
AAGUCGUAACAAGGUUUCCGUAGGUGAACCUGCGGAAGGAUCAUUCAUAAUAUUCACAAUAUUUAUUUUUUUUCUCAUUGUUUUGUAUAUAUCAAAUAUCAAAACAAUGAGGAUGGGAUACCCAAUUUAUGUGUACCGUAUUCAGGCUGAUGUUGUUUAAAAAAACAAUCUUCCUGAUUUAAUUUCUUAUAUUAAUCUAUAACGAAAUUUUAUUAUUAAACAAAUUAAUAUUUUAAAGUAAUUAAUUAAUUAAAAAUUAAAUAACAACUUUCAACAAUGGAUCUCUUGGCUCUC